rnacentral:rRNA from 1 species
GACGAACGCUGGCGGCGUGCCUAAUACAUGCAAGUCGAGCGAAGUGGAGAGAGCUUGCUCUCAAAACUUAGCGGCGAACGGGUGAGUAACACGUCGGCAACCUGCCUGACAGACUGGGAUAACUUGGGGAAACUCAAGCUAAUACCGGAUAGGAUCGCGAACCGCAUGGAUUGCGAUGGAAAGUCUGAACGACACUGUCACAUGGGCCCGCGGCGCAGUAGCUAGUUGGUGGGGUAAUGGCCUACCAAGGCGACGAUGCGUAGCCGAGCUGAGAGAGUGACCGGACACACUGGGACUGAGACACGGCCCAGACUCCUACGGGAGGCAGCAGUAGGGAAACUUCCACAAUGGGCGAAAGCCUGAUGGAGCAACGCCGCGUGAGUGAUGAAGGUUUUCGGAUCGUAAAACUCUGUUGUUAGGGAAGAACACCCGGGAGAGGAUCCCGGUUUGACGGUACCUAACGAGGAAGCCCCGGCUAACUACGUGCCAGCCGCCGCUGUAAAAC